GAUGAACGCUGGCGGCGUGCCUAAUACAUGCAAGUCGAGCGAAUGGAUUAAGAGCUUGCUCUUAUGAAGUUAGCGGCGGACGGGUGAGUAACACGUGGGUAACCUGCCCAUAAGACUGGGAUAACUCCGGGAAACCGGGGCUAAUACCGGAUAACAUUUUGAACCGCAUGGUUCGAAAUUGAAAGGCGGCUUCGGCGGUCACUUAUGGAUGGACCCGCGUCGCAUUAGCUAGUGGGUGAGGUAACGGCUCACCAAGGCAACGAUGCGUAGCCUACCUGAGAGGGUGAUCGGCCACACUGGGACUGAGACCCGGCCCAGACUCCUACGGGAGGCAGCAGUAGGGAAUCUUCCGCAAUGGACGAAAGUCUGACGGAGCAACGCCGCGUGAGUGAUGAAGGCUUUCGGGUCGUAAAACUCUGUUGUUAGGGAAGAACAAGUGCUAGUUGAAUAAGCUGGCACCUUGACGGUACCUAACCAGAAAGCCACGGCUAACUACGUGCCAGCCGCCGCCGUAA
rnacentral:rRNA from 1 species